GAUGAACGCUGGCGGCGUGCCUAAUACAUGCAAGUCGAGCGAACGGACGAGAAGCUUGCUUCUCUGAUGUUAGCGGCGGACGGGUGAGUAACACGUGGAUAACCUACCUAUAAGACUGGGAUAACUUCGGGAAACCGGAGCUAAUACCGGAUGAUAUUUUGAACCGCAUGGUUCAAAAGUGAAAGACGGUCUUGCUGUCCCUUAUAGAUGGAUCCGCGCUGCAUUAGCUAGUUGGUAAGGUAACGGCUUACCAAGGCAACGAUGCAUAGCCGACCUGAGAGGGUGAUCGGCCACACUGGAACUGAGACACGGUCCAGACUCCUACGGGAGGCAGCAGUAGGGAAUCUUCCGCAAUGGGCGAAAGCCUGACGGAGCAACGCCGCGUGUGUGAUGAAGGUCUUCGGAUCGUAAAACUCUGUUAUUAGGGAAGAACAUAUGUGUAAGUAACUGUGCACAUCUUGACGGUACCUAAUCAGAAAGCCACGGCUAACUACGUG
rnacentral:rRNA from 1 species